GGUGACCUUCUGGGAAGUCCUCGUAUUGCACCCCUU
rnacentral:rRNA from 1 species